rnacentral:lncRNA from 10 species
GUCAGUGUCUUUCUCCUAGAGACCCACAGCCAGCUUCUAAUACUUUAAACGUGGUGGAAAGGCUGUGAGUUAGCUUAACAGCUGAUUUUCCUCAGAGCAUUGGCUGGAAUUAUGGGUUUUAAGAGGCAGAAGCAAUAACCUACACCUUUCUUAGAGUCAGCAAGAACUUCUUCUUCCUCACCUGCCACACCCAGUCAGUCAUGAAGCCCUAUUGAUACCACUUCUUUUCUGUUUCCUGAAUCUGUCAGCUUGCCUUUUGCAAUCCUUACCCACACUUCA